rnacentral:tRNA from 1 species
AGAUAUGUAGUUCAGUGUAGAGCACUUGCAUAGCAUGCAUGAAGCCUUGGGUUCUAUCCCCAGCAUUGCCA